UACAGAGGUCUCAAGCGUUUGUUCGGAUUCAUUGGGCGUAAAGGGUGCGUAGGCGGCGCGGUAAGUCGGGUGUGAAAUCUCGGAGCUUAACUCCGAAACUGCAUUCGAUACUGCCGUGCUUGAGGACUGGAGAGGAGACUGGAAUUUACGGUGUAGCGGUGAAAUGCGUAGAUAUCGUAAGGAAGACCAGUGGCGAAAGCGAGUCUCUGGCUAAAUGCUGACGCUGGAGGCAACGAAAGCUGGGGGAGCAAACGGG
rnacentral:rRNA from 1 species